rnacentral:rRNA from 1 species
AUUGAACGCUGGCGGCAUGCCUUACACAUGCAAGUCGAACGGUAACAGGUCUUCGGAUGCUGACGAGUGGCGAACGGGUGAGUAAUACAUCGGAACGUGCCUAGUAGUGGGGGAUAACUACUCGAAAGAGUGGCUAAUACCGCAUACGAUCUGUGGAUGAAAGCGGGGGACCGUAAGGCCUCGCGCGCUUGGAGCGGCCGAUGUCAGAUUAGGUAGUUGGGGAGGUAAAGGCUCACCAAGCCGACGAUCUGUAGCUGGUCUGAGAGGACGACCAGCCACACUGGGACUGAGACACGGCCCAGACUCCUACGGGAGGCAGCAGUGGGGAAUUUUGGACAAUGGGCGCAAGCCUGAUCCAGCAAUGCCGCGUGCAGGAUGAAGGCCUUCGGGUUGUAAACUGCUUUUGUACGGAGCGAAACGGCUUCCACUAAUACUGGGGGCUAAUGACGGUACCGUAAGAAUAAGCACCGGCUAACUACGUGCCAGCCGCCGCCGUAA